rnacentral:misc_RNA from 1 species
AUGAAACUUGGGAGAAUUGAUGCUAGAACUUGUUCUAUGCGCUUUUCCCUUAAUCCAUACACACCUGUGCACUUUGAAAGGAGAGAACGGCUUUUAACGGCUGGUCUGUCCUUUCUCAUACAAACCCUUCUUGUAAAACGAAUGUUCAUUGGCCGAAAGGCUCUAAAAAAUA